CAGCAAGCACACCACAUACAUGAAGAACAUGCUUAAGAAUUCACUGUGAUGGAAAACAUUUCAUUUACACAUAUACACUCUCUCUCUUUUCUUCCCGACACUGGUAGUUGUGAACGUUAGUUUUUUUUUUUUCUCUGUGAGGUCAAAUGGUACCUACAUAUAAUGAUUUCAAGUGGAAAAGCAGAUGACAGAAAUCAGAGUUUCUCAUCACCCAGGCUGGAGUGAAAUGGCACAAUCUCAGCUCACUGCAACCUCUGCCUCCCAGGUUCAGAGACGGGAUUUCACCAUGUUGAUCAAGCUGGUCACAAACUCCUGACCUCAGGCAAUUCACCCACCUCGGCCUCCCAAAGAGCUGGGUUUACAGAUGUGAGCCACCACACCCGGCCAGCAGUUCAACUUUAUAACAAUUACAAAUAAACCUGUUAAAAUGUUCUGGACA
rnacentral:lncRNA from 13 species